rnacentral:tRNA from 1 species
GGUUGCGUAGCUCAGAGAUAGAGCAUCCGGUUGUCUCCCGGAAGGCCGCGGGUUUGAUCCCCGUCGCAAUCGCCA